UUUAAGAUAUUUGGACAAGAGGAAAAAUAACCCUUCCUUCCCAUAAAUCCGGAGUGAAAACAAGGAGAAUGCAUAAUCCACCUGCCUUGAUUCAGGACCAUGUAAAUUACAUCAGCUGCAGUCAUAGAUUUUGUCAGCCUCCAAGAAAUCAUCCCCAUAGGACCAAAAUCCAGAUCCUCUUAUCAAUAUUUUAAUGGAUUCACUAUGAAAGAAGGCCUUUGCAUUGCUGCUGACUCCAUCAGAAUCUCAGAAGUCUUCCUGGAUCAGAAGGGGACCCAGACAAUUAGAACCUGGAAGGCCCGCUACUCAUAGGCAUGAGGCCAGAAGACUUGCCCUAGUGCCGAAAUGUUGUUCUGUUAAUGUGUAUCUCAUGCCCAGUAUUCUUAUUAAUAAGGCACUAAAUAAGGGACAAUCCAGCGUUUCCGUUGCCAAAAGAACACAUCUCCCUUUUAAUUAAUCAAUGUAAAUGGCCUUUUACUGGAAAAUAGAAGUAAAGUAUUUCUAGAACAUAGGAUAUAAUGUUACAUUGGGGAAUAUCAUGCCCUCUUUUUAUUUUAAAGUGGAGAUUUUUUUUUUUUAAUGUAGAGACACUAGGUCUGGACCAACUGAGAGAGAGUUCAUUCACAAAUUAUUGCUGAACAUGUGCUAUUUGGGUAAACUCAGGACUUUUGUUUCCCAGUUCAUUUUUGCUACAACUCAUUUGCAUUCAAUCCAGUGGGAGUUCAGAUCAGGAAAAUUAUCUGGAUGGAGCAAUUUAUAAAAUAAAAAAUAACUUAUAUUCAAAA